rnacentral:rRNA from 1 species
AUUGAACGCUGGCGGCAGGCCUAACACAUGCAAGUCGAACGAGUGGCGGACGGGUGAGUAAUGUCUGGGAAACUGCCUGAUGGAGGGGGAUAACUACUGGAAACGGUAGCUAAUACCGCAUACUGUGAGAUGGACCUGCGUUGUAUUAGCUAGUUGGUGAGGUAAAGGCUCACCAAGGCGACGAUACAUAGCCGACCUGAGAGGGUGAUCGGCCACACUGGGACUGAGACACGGCCCAGACUCCUACGGGAGGCAGCAGUAGGGAAUCUUCGGCAAUGGACGGAAGCCUGAUCCAGCCAUGCCGCGUGUGUGAAGAAGGUCUUCGGAUUGUAAAGCACUUUAAGGUGGGAGGCGUUACCAACAGAAUAAGCACCGGCUAACUUCGUGCCAGCAGCCGCGGUAAUUC